AGCGAACGUUAGCGGCGGGCUUAACACAUGCAAGUCGAACGCGAAAGUCCUUCGGAUGAGUAGAGUGGCGCACGGGUGAGUAACACGUAGGCAAUCUUCCCUCGAGUGGGGGACGAACUGCCCGAAAGGGCAGCUAAUACCGCAUAAGACCACGGUGGCUCCGGCCACUGCGGGAAAAGCUGGCCUCUACUUGUAAGCUAGCACUUGAGGAUGAACCUGCGCACCAUCAGCUAGUUGGUGGGGUAAUGGCCUACCAAGGCGAAGACGGUUAGCUGGUCUGAGAGGAUGAUCAGCCACACUGGCACUGAAACACGGGCCAGACUCCUACGGGAGGCUG
rnacentral:rRNA from 1 species